AAGGGAAGACAACAUACCAGCAGACUUGUGUUCAAGGGAAGACAACAUUUUGUUGUCUUCCCUUGGACACACGGCUGCUGGUUUGUUGUCUUUCCUUGG
rnacentral:pre_miRNA from 1 species